UCCAGCGAUUGAUGACCCCGGACCGUAUAGUGGCCCAGGAGGGGGACGCCCGGCCCUGUACGUCGGUUGCCUACUGUCCGAGUCUUGAUGGGGUCUUGCGUAGAUAUGCAGACGGGGGGCGAUAUAAAGUGGCGCUUGGGAGGGCUCCUACAGUUUUUGGCCGUCUCAGAGGUGACAGGGGCCCGGUCCCUGACGCUGAGAGGGCGGGGGUGUGUACUGUCCCUUUCUGUGGUGAGGAUGAGGGUGAGCAACAGCACUAUGUGGGGAGUGCUGCUGGAGGCCUGGAGGGGAGAGUUGGGGAGCACCGAACCGGUGUGGUUGAGGGUGGAUUGACCACUGCUCUGGCAUGCGGGGCCUGUGAGCGCGUUGUUCGUGUUGACUGGAAUGGAGCCCAACUCGUUGGGCCCCUCAGAGGCAGUUGCGGACUCACCACUAUGGAGGCUGUGCACUUGAUCAGAGUGGGGCGAUCCCAUGAUGUAGUCGGCA
rnacentral:lncRNA from 1 species